rnacentral:rRNA from 1 species
GAUGAACGCUGGCGGCGUGCCUAAUACAUGCAAGUCGAGCGAACAGACGAGGAGCUUGCUCCUCUGACGUUAGCGGCGGACGGGUGAGUAACACGUGGAUAACCUACCUAUAAGACUGGGAUAACUUCGGGAAACCGGAGCUAAUACCGGAUAAUAUAUUGAACCGCAUGGUUCAAUAGUGAAAGACGGUUUUGCUGUCACUUAUAGAUGGAUCCGCGCCGCAUUAGCUAGUUGGUAAGGUAACGGCUUACCAAGGCCACGAUGCGUAGCCGACCUGAGAGGGUGAUCGGCCACACUGGAACUGAGACACGAUCCAGACUCCUACGGGAGGCAGCGGUAGGGAAGCGUCCGCGAUGGGCGGAAGCCUGACGGAGCGGCGCCACGUGGGUGAUGAGGGGCUUCGGAUCGUAAGACUCUGUUAUUAGUGUAGAACAAAUGUGUAAGUAACUAUGCACGUCUUGACGGUACCUAAACAGAAAGCCACGGCUAACUACGUG